CAAGUUUGUUAGGUGAUGACAGUGGAGCAGCAGGCAGUUUUCGUCCUAGUGUGAGCUGCUACCGGAGUGGAGGCUGCUCAGAAGUUAUGGGAAUUACAUCAGGCUGAGCAGACGCAGCGACGGUCGUUGAGAAAAUUAAUGCUGGUUAGUUGAUCAGUCUGUCAAGCAUGAUGAGUGAAAAUUUAGAGGGCAAAAACUAGUAAGGCCUGAAAGUCUAUGACGCAUAAUUCACCCAAACCAAAGUUCCCAUGAAACAAACAUGCAGUGUUUGGCCGACAGUUAAGGUCAAAGUGUACGUGACUACACUGCAGUGAUUCUCAAACUGCGCCGCGGCGCAGAAGUGCGCUGCGUAAUUUUCAUGGAUAAGGUAUACAGUACACUGACUGUAGAGUUGGUGCGUCGUCAAAGCCCAAGUUAUAUAAUUAGUGUGCCACUGAGCAAUAACGUUUUGAGAACCUCUGGACUAAAGGAACGGUAUUGAUUCAGGCUUUGAUGUCAUGUCAGACAACUUUGUAGAGAAAGUAAAUAGAUGUCUUCUGAGCACAUUUCCUACUCUGCUUUUUGGAAGGAUUAAUAAUCUAGUUUCGGUAAAUUUAUAGUUUAAGCCAAUGUCCCCAAUCUCUACCCACGGCGUUAUUAUUGAUUUCCGACAAGUAGUGUAAUCAUUAGAAAUGAUGUGAAUAGUGAGAAGAACAAAAUGAGGUAGGUUAUUACCACGUAGUGUGUAAUGGCUUAAACUAUAAUAAAACCCUAGUUUCACUCGAGUAACAUUUAUGAAUUAAUGGACUGCAAAGAUUGUGUGGAUUAUUUGCUUGCGGCAGAAGAUCCAGUAAUAGUCAGCGCCACUGAUAUUAGCACGCUUCAUUGUGUGAGGCUCAUGAGCAAGAGGACAUCAUUAAAGAAGUGCAGCAGUCGAGAGGUGUAUUUGCUGAAGACUUCUUAUCCUGAACUACGUGACAUAAUGGUAGCAUGGUCAUCAGAUGCUGCAGGCCCACUGCUGGAUGAGGCUCCCCUACUCUCCCAGAACUGAGUCAGCUCUGCUCCACCAUUCACUAUAACAGAGAAACUUCUAUCAAGUAACAUUGCAAAGCAAAGGAUAAGGCACUACUAAUCACCAAGAGAGGAACACGCAGGCACAAAGAGAGAGAGAGAGAGAGAGAGAGAGAGAGAGAGAGAGAGAGCUUUGUCUAAAUGUGUGGCAAAUAAUUUAUUUCCUUUCAGUGUGUUGGCACAGAGGCCUUGCCAUUCAUUGUCGAGGGUCUGGAAUAAAAACGUAAUGUAAAAACUAAAAGGAAAAACAUACCAAUGAAGCUGUGUAAAGAGGACAUGCUGACACAGUGCUCAGACAAGGAGGCAAAGUGCAGGGACUCUAUAAUUGUAGUUUGGUACUGUUACCAGAGUCUUGCUGAAAAAGAUAUGGGUAUAAUUGUAGUUUGGUACUGUUACCAGAGUCUUACUGAAAAAGAUAUGGGUAACAGUUCCAAACUUUCAAUAAGACUGGUAACAGUACCAAAUUAGAAUUAUAGAGUCCCUGCACUUUGCCUCCUUGUCUGAGCACUGUGUCAGCAUGUCCUCUUUACACAGCUUCAUUGGUAUAUUUUUCCUUUUAGUUUUUACAUUACCUUUUUAUUCCAGACCCUUGACAAUGAAAGGCAAGGCCUCUGUGCCAACACACUGAAAGGAAAUAGUUUGCUGCUGCACUUGCUGUGUUAUUUAUCCUGAAUGUUGUAGACAACAAAUCCGUAAAAAACAUCACACUGUUUAAAAGAAAUAAAGUGAAAAAUUCCUCGCACAA